AGAGUUUGAUCCUGGCUCAGAACGAACGCUGGCGGCGUGCCUAACACAUGCAAGUCGUGCGAGAAAGUCUCCUUCGGGAGGCGAGUAAAGCGGCGCACGGGUGAGUAACACGUGGGUAACCUGCCUUUGGGACUGGGACAACCCAGGGAAACCCGGGCUAAUACCAGAUACGGCGUCGGGGUCUUCGGAUCCUGAGGCGAAAUGAUGGCCUAUGCUUGCAAGCCAUCGCUCGAAGAUGGGCCCGCGGCCCAUUAGCUAGUUGGUGAGGUAACGGCUCACCAAGGCAAUGAUGGGUAGCUGGUCUGAGAGGAUGAUCAGCCACACUGGGACUGAGACACGGCCCAGACUCCUACGGGAGGCAGCAGUGGGGAAUUUUGGGCAAUGGGCGAAAGCCUGACCCAGCAACGCCGCGUGCAGGAUGAAGGCCCUCGGGUCGUAAACUGCUGUCGGGAGGGAAGAAAAGCAGCGGAAGGAAAUGGCCGCUGCCUGACGGUACCUCCAAAGGAAGCGCCGGCUAACUCCGUGCCAGCAGCCGCGGUAAUACGGAGGGCGCAAGCGUUGUUCGGAAUUACUGGGCGUAAAGCGCGUGUAGGCGGUCUGGCAAGUCGGGUGUGAAAUCCCGGGCUCAACCCGGGAACUGCAUCCGAAACCUCCAGGCUAGAGUUUCGGAGAGGAAGGCAGAAUUCCCAAUGUAGGGGUGAAUCCGUAGAUAUUGGGAGGAAUACCAGUGGCGAAGGCGGCCUUCUGGACGAUGACUGACGCUGAGACGCGAAAGCGGGGGAGCAAACAGGAUUAGAUACCCUGGUAGUCCACGCCGUAAACGGUGCGCACUAGGUGCCGGGUAUUCACCCUCCGGUGCCGCAGCUAACGUACUAAGUGCGCCGCCUGGGAAGUACGGCCGCAAGGCUAAAACUCAAAGGAAUUGACGGGGCCCGCACAAGCGGUGGAGCAUGUGGUUCAAUUCGAUGCAACGCGAAGAACCUUACCUGGUCUUGACAUCCCGGGAAUCUCCCUGAAAGGGGAGAGUGCCUUCGGGAACCCGGUGACAGGUGCUGCAUGGCUGUCGUNAGCUCGUGUCGUGAGAUGUUGGGUUAAGUCCCGCAACGAGCGCAACCCUUGUCUUUAGUUGCCAGCGGUUAGGCCGGGCACUCUAGAGAGACUGCCGGUGUCAAACCGGAGGAAGGUGGGGAUGACGUCAAGUCUUCAUGGCCUUUAUGACCAGGGCUACACACGUGCUACAAUGGUCGGUACAAAGGGCAGCAACACCGCGAGGUGAAGCAAAUCCCAAAAAGCCGACCUCAGUACGGAUUGCAGUCUGCAACUCGACUGCAUGAAGUUGGAAUCGCUAGUAAUCGCGGAUCAGCACGCCGCGGUGAAUACGUUCCCGGGCCUUGUACACACCGCCCGUCACACCACGAAAGUGGGUUGCACUAGAAGUCCCCAGGCUAACCGCAAGGAGGCAGGGGCCCAAGGUGUGACUCAUGAUUGGGGUGAAGUCGUAACAAGGUAACC
rnacentral:rRNA from 1 species